rnacentral:lncRNA from 1 species
UUUUUACAAUUUUAUUUAUAACAAUAUCUGUGUUAUUUAGUUGUAAAGGAAUUCAGCAAAAAUUAUUAAAACGUUCACGUCCCCAAAAAGGGGCUGCCCGCUUUCCCUUCCUGGGUGUGGCCCACCUCCUUGGCGUCCCCAGGGGAGGGGAGGCUGGAGGAAUGUUUACCAGAGGAAGUCUCCAGCCCUGGGAACCUCGGUGGGGGCCCUGGAGACAGGGAGGGCCUGUCUGGGAGGGGGGUUGAGCAUGGCCAUCUCAUAGGUGCCCCUGGAGUUGGGGCUGGGGUUUGGGGUGGCCUCCCCCAAGAACUAAAACACUCCAUCCUUUCCCGCCUACCUCACCCAGAGCCACGUCUUCCAGACAGGGGCAGCAAAUAACUCUCCCUUCCCAGAAUUAGCCCUCAGGAAGCUGUGGGAGCGGGCAAGCAGGGAUGGGGCGAGAGGGGAGAGCCUUGGCAAAGUGUCUUAUACAGGGAGGGGAAGGCUGCACCACCAGCUCUCCCAGUGGGGUGCGUUCUGGUGGGAGGGUAGGAGGUGCAGCCCCAAGCCCUCCCUGCCUGUCUCCCUGAAGGCAGCAUGGGGGUGCCAAGGAGCAGGCAGGGAGGGGAUGGAGAAAUAAUACUGUGCUCGCUUGCCGGCUUGCUCGCUCACAUAUAAAAUGUAAUUCCUUCAUUUUUACAUUUAUACAUCCGGCGGGGCCAGGGAAGGGCUGGCUGGGGAGGGGCUCACUGAAGGACUUCACUGGUAGGGGGCAGAGGGCUUUCUGGGGGCAGUCCGACGGGGCAGGGCCCUAUGCCAAGGGGUCCCCUAUCUCGUCCUCAGGGCCGCGGCCCAGGAGUUCUCGCUUCUCGUCCGUGCUGGCCAGGGAGUGGCGACUGCCGUGGCCCCCCAUGUAGAGUGUGGCAUACACGGGGUUGGUGAAGUUGGUGGGCUGCAGGGUGACAGAGGGUUCAGGUAGGGCUCAGGAGCUGGGCCUGUAGCCCAGGUUACCCCACCCCCACCUCCGUCCCUCACCUAACCCAACACCUUUGGUUAGGCCACCCACGGCCUCUUGGCACUCGACCCUGCCCGCCUCCCAGCCCACCUUGUCAGGGUCCAGGGCAAAGUCAGCGUCCAGUAGGCCUCCCACAUCAUCAGGCUCUCCGCCUUCGUACAUCUUGUAGGUGGGGUUUCCAAUCUCCACGUUCAUGGCCCCGUUGGUCAUCCGUUGGUGCUGGAAGCCCUUAGCCCUGGGGAGAGGCAGGAGUAUAAGGAGACAGAGAUUAUUGGGGGGGAAGGCUAGGAUGGCAAAAUAAUGACCAGAAUGUUCCAGAUUCCCUGUGACUCACCCUUGGACUCGCCGCUUAUACCAGAAUACCACUCCGGCCACCAGAAGCAGCAGCAGCAGCAACAGCAGAGGGAUUAGGAUGGAGGCUAUAUCUGGAGGGAAGAGGUGGGACACUGAGUCACCAAGGCUCAGGGAAGCAGGAGGCACACGGUCCCCCUGCUCUAGGUCCCGGUGGCCCUGCCUGCCCCAACCCCUGCCACCUACGUCCUGGCUGCUGCUGGCUGAAGAUGUG